rnacentral:rRNA from 1 species
AUUGAACGCUGGCGGCAUGCCUUACACAUGCAAGUCGAACGGCAGCACGGGAGCAAUCCUGGUGGCGAGUGGCGAACGGGUGAGUAAUGUAUCGGAACGUACCUUUCAGUGGGGGAUAACGUAGCGAAAGUUACGCUAAUACCGCAUAUUCUGUGAGCAGGAAAGCAGGGGAUCGCAAGACCUUGCGCUGAUUGAGCGGCCGAUAUCAGAUUAGCUAGUUGGUGAGGUAAAGGCUCACCAAGGCGACGAUCUGUAGCGGGUCUGAGAGGAUGAUCCGCCACACUGGAACUGAGACACGGUCCAGACUCCUACGGGAGGCAGCAGUGGGGGAAUUUUGGACAAUGGGCGCAAGCCUGAUCCAGCCAUGCCGCGUGCAGGAAGACGGCCCUACGGGUUGUAAACUGCUUUUCCGGGGGUAAGAAUAAUCCCGACGUGUCGGGAGAUGCCGGUACCCCGGGAACUAAGGAUCGGCUAACUCCGUGCCAGCAGCCG